rnacentral:rRNA from 1 species
GACGAACGCUGGCGGCGUGCCUAAUACAUGCAAGUUGAGCGCUGAAGGUUGGUACUUGUACCAACUGGAUGAGCAGCGAACGGGUGAGUAACGCGUGGGGAAUCUGCCUUUGAGCGGGGGACAACAUUUGGAAACGAAUGCUAAUACCGCAUAAAAACUUUAAACACAAGUUUUAAGUUUGAAAGAUGCAAUUACAUCACUCAAAGAUGAUCCCGCGUUGUAUUAGCUAGUUGGUGAGGUAAAGGCUCACCAAGGCGAUGAUACAUAGCCGACCUGAGAGGGUGAUCGGCCACAUUGGGACUGAGACACGGCCCAAACUCCUACGGGAGGCAGCAGUAGGGAAUCUUCGGCAAUAGACGAAAGUCUGACCGAGCAACGCCGCGUGAGUGAAGAAGGUUUUCGGAUCGUAAAACUCGGUUGGUAGAGAAGAACGUUGGUGAGAGUGGAAAGCUCAUCAAGUGACGGUAACUACCCAGAAAGGGACGGCUAACUACGUG